UACGUAGGUGGCAAGCGUUGUCCGGAAUUAUUGGGCGUAAAGCGCGCGCAGGCGGUCCUUUAAGUCUGAUGUGAAAGCCCACGGCUCAACCGUGGAGGGUCAUUGGAAACUGGGGGACUUGAGUGCAGGAGAGAAGAGUGGAAUUCCACGUGUAGCGGUGAAAUGCGUAGAUAUCUGGAGGAACACCGGUGGCGAAGGCGGCAUCCUGGACCGGCAUUGACGCUGAGGCGCGAAAGCCAGGGGAGCAAACGGG
rnacentral:rRNA from 1 species